CCCUUAGAUGUUCUGGGCCACACGCGCGCUACACUGUUUGAUUCAGCGAGUCUUAACCUUGACCGAAAGGUUUGGGUAAUCUUCUAAAGUCAAACGUGAUGGGGAUCGAUCAUUGCAAUUAUUGAUCGUGAACGAGGAAUUCCUAGUAAAUGCAAGUCAUCAGCUUGCGUUGAUUACGUCCCUGCCCUUUGUACACACCGCCCGUCGCUACUACCGAUUGAAUGGUUUAGUGAGAUCUCCGGAUUGGCUCUGUAGGUCCCGCAAGGGAUUUAUUAGUAGCCAAGAAGCUGCUCAAACUUGAUCAUUUAGAGGAAGUAAAAGUCGUAACA
rnacentral:rRNA from 1 species